UUUUUGUCUGCGUUAAACUUUUCAUAAUCUUGCUCCAUUUAAUUUGCAAGGAAACUCAAUUUGAACUAUGACCUUAGCAGUUGAAGCGUAAAAGCAGAUUCACUGCCUCGACAGGGCUGCUCGGUGAAUUAAGUUCCAGACUAUUCCUCAACUAAAGACUGUUAGAUAACAGUGCAGAGCAAAAAACAGAAAUAUUCUUAAGGAAAAAUAUAGCUAUUUUAAACACUAGACACUUGUGAAAUCACAGUGCCUGCAAACAGUUGCUCGUCACAAAAGAUUCGCUUAACACGGAUCCCCUGGCUGGCGAUUUACGGCCCCGCUUUGUUCCAAUCCAAGACCCUUCAAGGGGGGUGUAGGGUGUGUUGUGGGUUGUCGGGAUUUGUGUGACUGGUUGCCUGGGCAGCGCGGCAUUCAUUCAUGGAUGGAAAAAAUGUGCGAGAACCUUUUGUUCUGCUGAAACUGGCGCACAAAAUUUAAGUGAAUGAAUGCUAUAAAUAAGAUGUAAUAUCAAUAAGAAUCGCUAGGGAAUAUCUGGUCAUAAGCCCUGUCCACAAAUCAAUUCGAUUCAUCAUCCUGAAAUGCAUCUUGCACAUCCGAGAAACUUCUGUCAUUCUAGUUAUACAAGCACCUUGUUACCCCUUGUUGCAUGCCCCUCUUUCGAACAAUCGACUUCGAACAACGAUGACGCCCACACAUUUGCGAGAGUUGUAAAAAGCAAAACAAGACAACAGCAAAAUUACAUGAAUUGCAGGCAACUACGAAAUGGAAACCCGAAUGGAAGCAAUGGCGAGUCAAGCAUACCAUGAAUGAAGGAGAAACUACGAUUAUAUUCAUAGUUAUACUCGUACUUAUACUAUGCAA